rnacentral:rRNA from 1 species
UCGGUUUCUAUCUAUGAUAAACUUAUACCCAGUACGAAAGGACCGGUAUAAGAAAGCCAAUGCUAAAAGCACGCCUUUACAUAAUCAUCAACCAAAUUAACCCCCCCUUUUUUAAAACCAAGACAAGGUUAAUUAAGGACACAGCCCUUA